rnacentral:rRNA from 1 species
UAGGGAAUCUUCCGCAAUGGACGCAAGUCUGACGGAGCAACGCCGCGUGAGUGAAGAAGGAUUUCGGUUCGUAAAACUCUGUUGUUAGAGAAGAACAGCGCAUAGAGUAACUGUUAUGCGUGUGACGGUAUCUAACCAGAAAGCCACGGCUAAAUACGUGCCAGCAGCCGCGGUAAUACGUAUGGAGCGAGCGUUGUCCGGAAUUAUUGGGCGUAAAGGGUACGCAGGCGGUUUAAUAAGUCGAAUGUUAAAGAUCGGGGCUCAACCCCGUAAAGCAUUGGAAACUGAUAAACUUGAGUAGUGGAGAGGAAAGUGGAAUUCCUAGUGUAGUGGUGAAAUACGUAGAUAUUAGGAGGAAUACCAGUAGCGAAGGCGACUUUCUGGACACAAACUGACGCUGAGGUACGAAAGCGUGGGGAGCAAACAGG